GACGAACGCUGGCGGCGUGCUUAACACAUGCAAGUCGAACGCUGAAGCCCUUUCGGGGGUGGAUGAGUGGCGAACGGGUGAGUAACCCGUGGGUAAUCUGCCCUGCACUCUGGGAUAAGCCUUGGAUACGGGGUCUAAUACCGGAACGGACACAUCGCCGCAUGGUCCGUGUGUGCAAAGUUCCGGGGGUGCCGGUUGAGCCCGCGGCCUAUCCGCUUGUUGGUGGGGUGAGGUGCUACCAAGGCGACGACGGGUAGCCGGCCGGAGAGGUUGACCGGCCACAGUAGGACUGAGACACGGCCCAUACGCCGACGGGAGGCAGCAGUGGGGAAUCUUGGGCGAUGGGCGAAAGCCUGACGCAGCAACGCCGCGUGGGGGAUGACGGCCUUCGGGUUGUAAACCUCUUUCGGCCGGGACGAAGGGUGACUGACGGUACCGGUAGAAGAAGCACCGGCUAACUACGUGCCAGCAGCCGCCGUAA
rnacentral:rRNA from 1 species